CACUGCACUUCAGCCUGGGUGACAGAGCAAAACUCCGUCCCCACCGCCCAUCGCCCCGCACAAAAAAAUGUGUGUGUGUGUGUGUAUACACACACAUGCAUACAUGUAUUUUCCUUUUGAAAGGUGGCACUGAUUUCUUAGCUGAGGGCAUUGGAGAGACAUUGCAAGGACAAAAUGGUUUUGCUUCCUGUUUCCCAAUGCAUGGUUGGUUUCCGAACGCUCCUGCAGCACAUAAAACUUCCCCUGUACUGCUGCAGCAGAUGAGGCUUCUCUAGCACCAAGCUCUUGCAACACUUGUAAUUUCUCCUGUGCUAGGCUCUUUCAGUGCACAUUGGCCAUCAUGAUCACCCAGCGGCCAGCAGCUCCCCGCAGAACCUCUCAUAGCGGGAGUUUGUGGUAAAUUGCCUUCAUUAAGACACCUUCUUAUUCUGUGUUAUUUGUCUUUGAUUCUAGCAUCUCGUGUUUUCUGCCAGCAUCUACAAAUCUGUUGCAGACUAACUGGUUAGUUGUCAAGGAGGACAAACAUCAGACCCUUCUCAGUUCCUGACAUAAGGUCUAGAUCUCAUCUCUGGAUGGAGGGACUCAGACUGAUAAACCAUUUGCAUGAGAGAACUAUACACCAUUUGAAAAAGAGCUUUUCUGCAAGGUGUGGUGGCUCACUCCUGUAAACCUGGCAACUCGAAAGGCUGAGGCAGGAGGAUCACUUGGGGCCAGGAGGUGGAGACCAGCCUGGGCAAUACAGCAAGAUCCUGUCUCUAAAAUAAAUUAGCAGAUAAAAGAAAAAGAAAAACAGUUUUUGAUAUACUACUGUACUCACAUAAAAGCCAGUCUUCUGAACCUAGUACAUCAAAUGACCACAUAAUAAAAUUAUCUAUCUUCAACUGAGUUAGACCAUUAGUUAACAAGUCAUAACUUUAGGCAACCUCAGCAGCAAUCGGUUGUAAAAUGGAAGUGUUAUAUUAAGUUUUGGGCUCAAUUAAGUCCAGAGAGCUUAAGUAAGCUGCAAGAAAGAUGACUUGGACCUCCAUGUCACCUGAAAAAUGUUUCAUUAAUAACACUCCCUCAGCCUCAUGGGAGGAGUUCUCCAUUACCAGCUGAUAGAGAAAGAAAGUUUGAGUUUGAUCUGUGGAUAGAUUGGGUUGAUACAUGGUUACUGGUGGAAAAUGAACUGCUAUUUUACUAUACCCCUUACUUGGGAAUGUCCCUGAAAGACAGUUGUGAGGAAAAUCCCUUAGGCUGAGUAUCUGUCAGUUCAUCUGGUCCUUCAUUUGUAUAGUAAGAAAAGUAGUCCAAUCUAAGGGUAUGCAUGAACCCUUAGGCAAUAGUUAAUGGUUUAGCUCUCUGGUGAGAAGUCAGGAAGGAGUAAGAUAGGAAGAUUGGGAUCAAGUAUGACUAGAAAAGAAGCAUAUAUUUAGACCUAUGUAUUAGAUCAAGUAGGACUAGAAAAGAAGCAUGUAUCAGACCUAUGAGAGUAAGCACAUCGUGUGAGCAUGUUUGUAUUGUAUGCUAAGUCUCCCUACCUCCUUUUAUGCCAUUUCUCAUUACAGCUACCAAAUCAUUUGUACUGCAAAAUCUCUUACAUUUUUCACUGGACUGAUUAUAUGAAUGUGGUAUUAAUUAACAUGUUUCUCCACAUCCAUGUUUUUGCAAUAAUUUGGCAGUAGAUCCAGACUUGAUUAGAUUCAUCUUUGCUUUUUACUUUUUUUGGUAACAACAGACCAUAGAGAGGUGAUAUAAUCUGAACUUCCUAUUGCAUCUCAUCAGGAAGAACAUAAUGUAUUCUCUUAUUUUUAUUUAGGUUAAGAUGGUUCAAGUGUUGUCAUCUAUCCAUUAAAAUUUUUCCCAUCAAUCUUCCAUCUAAUAGUUUUAGCAUUUAUUAUUUAAUUCAGGGUGCAAAGUGGUGAUAUUUCAAUUCUAAUAUUACUCCUGAGUUUAAUUAGUUGUUAUUCUUCUCUAAAGAGGAAAUUUCAUACAUUUUU